GGAGGUGGGAUGGGGGAGCCGCGAACCCGCGGACGCGCGUGGAUCCCCCCCCUCGAGGAGCUGCCUGCCUGCCCGCCCGGCCGGGGUGCCCGCGGUCGGCGUCGCGAUCGUACGGGCGGGUCGCGCUGCGGCGUGAAACGGCGCGUUUUCGAGGGAGAGCGGCUGAAAGAUGGGUGAAGUGAGUUCCACGUGGGGAUGAACGGACUCCUCGCGAAACCCCGGCUGAGUCCGACAGAAAUCAGUCGGUGCUGCGUGCGAGAACGUCUCGUUUACACUUCGCAAAACAGCCGGUGGUUUUCUGAGCGCAAUACUGAGCAAAACUCCUUUGAUCGCUUCAGGGCUGAAGGGAGCCUCGCUUGCCGGGGCACAGUGGGGAGGGACGGGGAGCCCAACCCCCCGUGGCACCGGGAAUGGGAAGAAAGCGGGGUUUUGUGUGGCCUCAGCUGCGAGAGUAGAGAGCGUCACUGGCGGGAGAGCAGCAGCCCUCAGCCCGCUGAGGGAUCCCAGCGCGCUCCAGAGCAGCGGGGUCACGGCCGCGGCCAGGCGAGGUGCUGCUUCUCCCCUGGCAGCACGAGAGAAUCCAAAGCUGGGAACACCAGGUCCCUUCGUGUGCAAGAUUAGUCUUUUCUUGCCUGCUGUAUGUUUAAAAUGUAAUGUGUUCUGAACCUUCUGGGACCUAACUCGCAGCUCCACAGGAUUCUGUUACCGAUGAGUCCGCGUGCGCAACCUCUCAUCAAACGCAAGAGGUGCUCCCAGGAUCUCAGCAUCUCUCUCCCAUGGCAGGGACGGGAUAGGCAGCACGAGGGGAAGUUGCUUAUAAGCACCGUCGUGUAGCGUCAGAGCUGCAGGUUUGAAAGCUCUGAGAGCCAACCUCACAGAACCUUCCUGCUCUGAAGCACCAGCACCUUGCUCAUUCACAAAAUCACUCUGAGGAAGAAGGCAAAAUGAAUUUUUGCAUUAGGGACACAUCACUGGUUUCUCCGUAGUGCUGAUAACACAACUUUAGUGAAAAUCUCGGACCUUUUGCUACACAGAAUAACCAUGUUGCCCUGAAUGGUUAUUGUUUAGUGAAACAUCUGAAAACACAUAAUAGACUACUUGUUUGCAACGCUUGCUAUAGAUUUUGUAAUGAAGUGCCGUUGCGCUGCAUCAAUUUGACAGUUCGAGUUGAUAAUUUGACAGAAAGAUUAAUCCUAAACUCCCAGCAUAAACAGAAUUCCCUUUAAUGUCAGAAGGGACUUUGUAACUGCCAGCCCAAACGCUGCGGAUGGGCUUCAGCAGGUUACAGAGAGCGUCUUCAGGAUCAAAUUUGACAUUCCUCUUCCUGACUAACAGUUGGUAGUUGAAAAUAGAACACCUCUCCCAGUUCUGAAUUCUGACCCUCACUUCUUGCUCACCCAAACCGAGGACUUCCAGACUUCUUUUCCCAAACGCUCACCGCGAAGGCUUUUGAAUGCAGAUGUUCACUCGUGUCUCCUGACAGUAGGCUCAGUUUUCUCAGCUACUUUUAGUAAGCUCCUAAAAACAGCCCACGGUCCCUCAGAACCUCAUCAACAACUGGCUAAAAGCCACGGUCUCACUGUAUCCUUUUUUCUUUUGGUAUCUACUGCAGACUUUGGACGGGUACAGAAGUUCUACCUCUCUGGGUCCAGGUCUCUCUGUCUGACAGCACAUUAUUUCUGCAGCUGUCACAUGUCCUCAUUUUCUAGAGCUGUUAUUACCUUUACAUAAUACGUAUUAUUAUAUUACAUAUUCUUCAGAAGUUGUUCUUCCAGUGGCAACAUAUGGAGGACCAUCAACCGUCAAGACGGAAGUUCAUGCAACUGUCAAGACUGAAUUUCAUGCAUUCAGAAUGCUUAGGCACCAUCUGACACUCGUAGAGACCCUAACGUUAAAUACAUCUACUGAACUGUGACAGCACACAUUUCUUGUGUGAAAGCCUAUAUUUCUGAUAAGGAAACCUGGUUCAGCAGCGCUCAAUGUGGAUUCUGGAUAACAUCUUAAAGAGGCCAACCAGCCAUUCCGUGCAUACAGAAACACGCCUGUGAACUUCUCCCUGCAGUCAGCUCCUUCAGCUCCCCACUUCCACGCCAGUGAUGUUAUUUCACCCACACCUUGCAGAAGGGGCGCAUUCCACUCAUUCCUGAGCUGGGACGAGCGCCCGCAGCAUUACUCACCCACAGCAGUGUCUGUAGAUCCCUGUCUGCUGUGGAUACUAAUCUCAAUCCAGAGCUUCCUCAGACGAUUAGAGGCUGUUCUGCAAAAUGUCAAUACGCAGCCUCUCCGAAGCCAACACGGUGUGGUGGUUGAAAUGGGAGCCGUGGAGGCUUUCCAAAUAUGAAGGUCUGGAAAUGUUUGGAGGUAUUUUAAUAUUGAUGAAUACUUCAGAUUUUUUUUUUUUUUUUCUGUUGCUUCGGUGUAUCAGUGUCAAAUCUGUGUGGAUUAAUGGCAAGACAGUGCCCUAGUACCAUUCGUGUCUAUCAAAGUUCUGGCAAAUGCUAACAACUUACUGCUAUUAAUGAUCACUCUUUGCCCAGAAGUUCACAUAAUUCAUCAAAAAGCCAACAUUGAUAAGCAGAAAGAAAUUAAAUACUUCUGAGUCUUCUGUUAAAAUGCCUUUCUUUUUACUUUGUUUAACAUCUAAUGUCUCCUAUGGCAAAAGUAAGUAAGGGGAAGUCUUUUCCUUCUUCAGCAUGAAAGAGCACCCACACCACUCAAAAACAGUUGAGAUUAAACCUUUGAAAAGGUAUCAGCAGUGUGUGUAAAGCCAAAUUGGUAAAGUGUGCUCUAGACACCACUUUUGACUCUGGGGAAAAUGCUUUAUCAUCUGUCUACUGCUAUGCUCUGCCUAUUCAUCACCAUUACUCAGUAACUCUGCGGUGGCAGCUUUGUACUUAACAUGAAGCCAAAGAUCAGGGAGAGGCACACAUCAAACAAGACUUGAACUUGGAGAUGGCAAACCAUACGUUCUAGACCUCAUUCCUUUAAAGGACCGUACCUCGGAAUGAAACCUGUGAGCCUUCUCUAUAGUUUCAUUUGUUCAAUACAGUGCUCCACUUGUUCUGUAAAAGAAGUUGGCAAAAGCCCUGCUCUCCUGAGAUCUUGUCAUUCAUUGUGACUGAAACCUAAAAGGCUGCCCUAUGGUAGUAGGGCAGGUCUGGGGUACCCGAGAGACCUACCUGCUCCCUGUGCCUCCAUUCCACAUUCUUCACACACCUUGAAACCAAGGAACUGUCAAACACAGAAGCAAAGAUGGUGAGGGGUGUACACCCCCAUUCUUUGCAGCUUUCCAUGGCUGUAAAGCUCCCUGUGAAGCGACCUGAGAAUAUGUACAAUGACAGAAAACUCAUUUCUUCACCCGCCAUUUCCCAACAACAGCCAGUUCCAGCCCUUGUCAUUCUUCUACUUCUCCACACAGACGAAGGCAGGAGAGAAUUCUCUUGGUUUAACUUUAAUAAAUGGAAUCAAAGAACAGCGGAGACUGAAAGGCUCUUGUGAAGAGGAACCUAACUUCCCUCCUCAAUGAUGGUGAGAAAUCAUAGGAAGAGACACAAGGAGGCGAAAUGUAUGUGCUUCACCCUGAUAGGAUGCAGCCACAAGGGCUGAGGAUGCUGGCAGAAGUGACUGCCAAACUACUCUCUAUCAUUUUUGAAAGGAGAUCAUGGAGAAUGGGAGAGGUGCCUGAAGGCUGGAGAAAAACUGAUGUCACAAAGGGCAAGAAGGAGGACCUGUGAAACUAAAGGCCAGUCAGCCUCACAUCCAUACCCAGGAAGGUGAUGGAACAACUUACAUGCAACCUGCUCUAGGGAAACUGCUUUAGCAGUGGCGUUGCACUAGAUGAUCUCCAAAGCUUCCUUCCAGCCCUGUGAUUCUGUGAUUGUGUGAUUCUGUGAUACUUUAGAAUGUCACUGUCCGAACUAGAACCCAGUUCUUAUGUCCUGUAGGACAGCCCUGCCACUGCUGGAACACGUAAUGUAAAAUUUUUGCUGGGGGAAAACAAGAGAGUCUCCCUUUGGACUAGCUUGACUUUGAGCUCACUCACGAAAAACCAAUGACCUUUGAAAGAAUACAGAGAUGGCACCACUGACAGAUUUUUCCCCAGUUGGCUGCAAAUAAAGUUUUUUGAAAUAACUGCUAAAGCUGUAAUUUAUCAGACUUUUUCACAGAUUCCACAAAAGCUAGGAAACUCGAAAGGCUUUCUCCAGGCAGAACAUGCCAGUCAUUUGUGCAUGAAUUGCAAGAGGGGAAAUUAUAUGUUUCUUUUAGAGCUGUUGUUGCCAUCGUGGAAAGUGAACAAGCAUCUGUGCUUCAGAAAUCAGUGGAAGGAAGGUGUUCCGUGAAAGAGAGCAUGUGGGAAAGCGACUUGAAAUUGUGAGAGUAUAUGAAAGUAGCAGGAGUUCUGAAUGCCACUGGGGAGAAGAACUGGAACAAGGCUGACACAUGGAAAGGUGGUGAGAAAGCAAAAAGAAAUGUAAAGAGGAAUAUACUGAAGGGGGAAAAAAGAGAGAGAGAGAGAGAGAGAGAGAGAGAAAAAUUUGGCUAGGGAAUAGGUCUGAGCAAAUUCCAAAAGUGAGAGAGGAACAGAAAAAGAAGGAAAAAAUAUAGGGCAGAUGGAAGGUUUAUCUGUUGGAUAACUGUGCAGGUAAAUGUGAACAUUAAAGUUUUAAAGCGUGUUUUACUAUGGAAACUGAAAUCUGAAAGUCAGAUGUCCGAGAAGGACUUCUGAUGCAGCGGUGUUCCCUAUGUUUGUGUUAUACACAAUCUGCAAGAUGAUUGUCCUCUGUAGCGUUUGUCACCAAUUCUAAAAAAAAAAUAAAGAUUCCCAGUUACUAAUAUUUAAUUCAAGAGGACUGCUUACCUCAAAUCACUGUAUAUAGAAGCUGCACCACCAGCCCUAAGGUUCUUAAUUUCACUGCGAGGCUGACUAUUUCCUGGGUUACAAUGCAGUGAAGCUGAAUCCGGAAUACCAAUUUAAUACUUGAGUGCCCAGAGUCAGGCAGACACUUUGCAUAAAAGUCUUCUCUUGUGAGCGCUGAGCGCCUGCAGCUCCCCCUGGGAGGCAGUGGGUGCUGAGCACCUCCAAAAACGGGGUCACUGUCAUUUGACAGCUCUGAAAUGAAUCGAGGUGACAAAGUUUAAAACUAAACUUACAAGCGAUUGACAUCUUUGUGGAAGAGUGCUUCUCUGUAGGACUGCCACUCUUCUGGUCAUUCAAAUUUUGGUAUGUAGUGGAUGAACUUUUUUAAUACAGAUGCCUGUAUAGCUCACGAACUAUUCAGAGAUAAUAUGAGGAUAAAAUUAAGUGGGAAGGAGAGAGAAGUCAGAUGGGGGGAAUUAAGAAAGGAAGGGAUGGGGGUGUUGUUCAAGCCUAAUUCGAGACUAACUCGGGCAUGUCGAGUCGAGUCACCGAGCCUGGUGGUGUUCAAAGAGCGUUUGGAUGUUGUGUUGAGGGACAUGGUUUAGCGGGAACCAUUGGUGAAGGGCGAAUGGUUGGACUGGAUGAUCCUGUGGGUCUUUUCCAACCUUAGCGAUUCUAUGAUUCUAUGUCUCAUUGGCCUUAAAUGCAAACUGUUCAUUGGGAGCCUUAAAAUAAACAUAAUGAAGUAGGGAUUUUUUCCGAUAUGCGUAAAAUAAGUGUGUCAUACCUGUCUAUAGGGUGUUCUGAGGAACAGAAGCCUGAACAGUUUCAGAGAAUUUAGAAGAGCCAGGCCUGAACAUUUGGGGAAAUACAUCCAUUUUGCUUUGUUUAACGUGAGAGACUUGAUAGAGCAUCUAAGAAAUCCCUAAAAUGCAGACAGAUGGAAUCUGAGUGGACGUGCCAUAUGAAAUACCUCCUUGUUGUGGACUGAUUUCUCAUUCUCUUCCAUUAAGCAUUUUAAACCAGCGCUUAUCAGAGACACAAUACUCUUAUAUUCCAUAUUGCAUUUGCAGCUUACGGUUUCCCUACCAUAGCUUCCAUUUGUGUUGGCCUAUGUCAAUCGUCCCUCCUCGUGCACGGCAGCAAUAACUACGACUGCCAUGUUGUUAACAUUUUAAUCAUUUUAGAGCACGUAUUGAAGAGGCAGGCAGGCAUUUUAAUUACAGAGGUUAAAAGAAGAACAGAUGCAGUGAGCAAAGAGCUAGAUAAAAAUUAAUGCAUCUCCCCUUGUACCACAAUGGUCACUAUUCUUUGUCUCCAACGGAUUGGCAGAGGGACAAAUUCAAAAGCAGAGGAAAUCAUACUGAAAAGCACCAAUACUGAACAGAAGGGCUUACCUAAACCAAGGGGGAAAUGUAUUGAUAGUACAGUAUAGGAAUAAAGGAAUACUUUUGUUUUGAUUUCCCUAAGGCCAUUUAGUUAGUGCUAUUUAAAAUACAUUCCUUUGUUCACAUACAGAAUUCGAAGGACAGAUUCGAAUUAUUUUCUUUUUGUCACCUAAAACAACUUUGAAACCAUUUCCUUCAUCAUCUAGGUCGACUUGUGUAUACGCAGACCUUGUUCCCGGAAAGACAUUACUGCCUUUGUGUUAGUAAAGCAGUGAGCAGGUACGCAGUGAGAGCAGCCCUUUGGAUAACAACUUCCUCAACUGUUUUGUGCUUUCAAGUUCGUCAGUAAACAGAAAGCUAGAGCCAAGCCUCUGGUGCUGGGUGCUCACGCUGUGUCGCAUUCUUCAGCAAGUGGGCAGUGGGUUUUUCAGGAACCGGAUCUUUCAGGCACCCUUCAAAAGGGAGUCGUAAAUAAGAAGGUACAAAAACCGAAGGGGAGAUUAAAAAAAAAGGCACCAGUGACUUCUGCACAGUUUACUUCAAUAGAAGAAUCACGCCAGCCUUGGUGGAUAGUACAUAGCUUCCCAUGCAAGUGAAAA